GACGAACGCUGGCGGCGUGCUUAACACAUGCAAGUCGAACGGAAAGGCCCUGCUUUUGUGGGGUGCUCGAGUGGCGAACGGGUGAGUAACACGUGAGUAACCUGCCCUUGACUUUGGGAUAACUUCAGGAAACUGGGGCUAAUACCGGAUAGGAGCUCCUGCUGCAUGGUGGGGGUUGGAAAGUUUCGGCGGUUGGGGAUGGACUCGCGGCUUAUCAGCUUGUUGGUGGGGUAGUGGCUUACCAAGGCUUUGACGGGUAGCCGGCCUGAGAGGGUGACCGGCCACAUUGGGACUGAGAUACGGCCCAGACUCCUACGGGAGGCAGCAGUGGGGAAUAGUGCACAAUGGGCGGAAGCCUGAUGCAGCAACGCCGCGUGCGGGAUGACGGCCUUCGGGUUGUAAACCGCUUUCGCCUAUGACGAAGCGUGAGUGACGGUGAUGGGUAAAGAAGCACCGGCUAACUACGUG
rnacentral:rRNA from 1 species